rnacentral:rRNA from 1 species
GACGAACGCUGGCGGCGUGCUUAACACAUGCCAGUCGAACGGAAAGGCCCUGCUUUUGUGGGGUGCUCGAGUGGCGAACGGGUGAGUAACACGUGAGUAACCUGCCCUUGACUUUGGGAUAACUUCAGGAAACUGGGGCUAAUACUGGAUAGGAGCUCCUGCUGCAUGGUGGGGGCUGGAAAGUUUCGGCGGUUGGGGAUGGACUCGCGGCUUAUCAGCUUGUUGGUGGGGUAGUGGCUUACCAAGGCUUUGACGGGUAGCCGGCCUGAGAGGGUGACCGGCCACAUUGGGACUGAGAUACGGCCCAGACUCCUACGGGAGGCAGCAGUGGGGAAUAUUGCACAAUGGGCGGAAGCCUGAUGCAGCAACGCCGCGUGCGGGAUGACGGCCUUCGGGUUGUAAACCGCUUUCGCCUGUGACGAAGCGUGAGUGACGGUAAUGGGUAAAGAAGCACCGGCUAACUACGUG